CGGCGGACGGGUGAGUAACGCGUGGGUAACCUGCCGUCUACUCUUGGACAGCCUUCUGAAAGGAAGAUUAAUACAAGAUGGCAUCAUGAGUCCGCAUGUUCACAUGAUUAAAGGUAUUCCGGUAGACGAUGGGGAUGCGUUCCAUUAGAUAGUAGGCGGGGUAACGGCCCACCUAGUCUUCGAUGGAUAGGGGUUCUGAGAGGAAGGUCCCCCACAUUGGAACUGAGACACGGUCCAA
rnacentral:rRNA from 1 species